GAUGAAGAACGCAGCGAAAUGCGAUAAGUAAUGUGAAUUGCAGAAUUCAGUGAAUCAUCGAAUCUUUGAACGCACAUUGCGCCCGCCAGCACUCUGGCGGGCAUGCCUGUUCGAGCGUCAUUUCAACCAUCAAGCCCCCAGGGGCUUGUGCUGGGGCCCUGCGGCUGCCCGUAGGCCCUGAAAACCAGUGGCGGGCUCGCUAGUCACACCGAGCGCAGUAGCACAUCUCGCUCAGGGCGUGCGGCGGGCUCCUGCCGUGAAACCCCCCACUGUAACCCCAAAGGUUGACCUCGGAUCAGGUAGGAAUACCCGCUGAACUUAAGCAUAUCAAUAAGCGGAGGA
rnacentral:misc_RNA from 1 species